ensembl:misc_RNA Metazoa_SRP Metazoan signal recognition particle RNA
GCCGGGCAUGGUGGUGCAUGCCUGUAAUCCCAGCUACUCAGGAGGCUGAGGCAGGGGAAUUGCUUGAACCCAGGAGACAGAGGUUGCAGUGAGCUGAGAUGGCACCACUGAACUCCAGCCUGGGCAACAGAGUGAGACUCUGUCUCAA